CCUAAACAAAACAAUUUGAAUUCCCGCAAUUAUAUGCGGUUAUGGUGGAUCAAUAUAGGCAAAUUGUAUAAAUAUGAAAACGGAAACAUGUGCUUUUGUUGGGUGCUUGUCGUCCAGCAAGCAAGGCAUGAGAAUCUUCAAUUUUCCAAGGGAUCCAGCACGUCCCGUGAAAGAAGCGACAAGUUUCCAGGAGCAUUGCUUCCUCUCGUUGUUUGAAACGGCAA